rnacentral:rRNA from 1 species
UAAUACGUAGGGCGCAAGCGUUGUCCGGAAUUAUUGGGCGUAAAGAGCUCGUAGGCGGCUUGUCGCGUCGGUUGUGAAAGCCCGGGGCUUAACCCCGGGUCUGCAGUCGAUACGGGCAGGCUAGAGUUCGGUAGGGGAGAUCGGAAUUCCUGGUGUAGCGGUGGAAUGCGCAGAUAUCAGGAGGAACACCGGUGGCGAAGGCGGAUCUCUGGGCCGAUACUGACGCUGAGGAGCGAAAGCGUGGGGAGCAAACAGGAUUAGAUACCCUGGUAGUCCACGCCGUAAACGGUGGGAACUAGGUGUGGGCAACAUUCCACGUUGUCCGUGCCGUAGCUAACGCAUUAAGUUCCCCGCCUGGGGAGUACGGCCGCAAGGCUA